rnacentral:tRNA from 1 species
UCCCUGGUGGCUCAGAGGUUAAAGCGUCUGCCUGCAAUGAAGGAGACCUAGGUUCAAUCCCUUGGUUGGGAA